rnacentral:rRNA from 1 species
CCAAAAACAUAGCCCCCUCUAAUAUAGGAGGUGUUACCUGCCCAGUGAUUUAUAAUUAAAGAAAUAAAAACACUAAAAGUAUAUUAAAAGGACGCGGUACCCUGACCGUGAUAAUGUAGCAUAAUCAUUCGCCAUUUAAUUGAUGGAUAGUAUGAAUGGUAUAACGAAUAUAACACUGUCUUAAAAGGAAAACUUGUAAAAUUAGAUUAAUAGUAAAGAUACUAUUUAAAACUGUAAGACGAGAAGACCCUAUAGAGCUUAACUAUAACUCUUUUGUAAAAAGUAAAUUAAUUUACUUCUUAAAGGAGAUAGGUAGUUUAGUUGGGGCGACUACUUUCUAAAACAAACGAAAGCAAACAAUAUUAAUCAUCUAAUUUACUGUAUAACCUAUAAGUUUAACAGUUACUAAAGUAGGUGAUAAUGACCCGUUAUUCGCAGGAAAAAGUGAUAACGAUCAAUAAAUAAAAGCUACCUUAGGGAUAACAGGAUAAUCUUGUUCUAGAGAUCUUAUCGAAAACAAGGUUUGUCACCUCUAUGUUGAAUUGAGAUAUCCAAGAAGUGCAGAAGCUUCUAAAGGUAGGUCUGUUCGACCUAUAAAAUCUUACAUGAUUUGAGUUCAUUCCGUA